GGGUUGUGAGGUUAAGCGACUAAGCGUACACGGUGGAUGCCCUGGCAGUCAGAGGCGAUGAAGGACGUGCUAAUCUGCGAAAAGCGCCGGCGAGGUGAUAUGAACCUUUGACCCGGCGAUGUCCGAAUGGGGAAACCCAGUGUGUUCCGACACACUAUCGUUAACUGAAUACAUAGGUUAACGAGGCGAACCGGGGGAACUGAAACAUCUAAGUACCCCGAGGAAAAGAAAUCAACCGAGAUUCCCCCAGUAGCGGCGAGCGAACGGGGAGCAGCCCAGAGUCUGAAUCAGCUUGUGUGUUAGUGGAAGCGUCUGGAAAGUCGCACGGUACAGGGUGACAGUCCCGUACACGAAAGCACACAGGCUGUGAACUCGAAGAGUAGGGCGGGACACGUGGUAUCCUGUCUGAAUAUGGGGGGACCAUCCUCCAAGGCUAAAUACUCCUGACUGACCGAUAGUGAACCAGUACCGUGAGGGAAAGGCGAAAAGAACCCCGGCGAGGGGAGUGAAAAAGAACCUGAAACCGUGUACGUACAAGCAGUGGGAGCCUCUUUUAUGGGGUGACUGCGUACCUUUUGUAUAAUGGGUCAGCGACUUAUAUUCUGUAGCAAGGUUAACCGUAUAGGGGAGCCGAAGGGAAACCGAGUCUUAACUGGGCGUUAAGUUGCAGGGUAUAGACCCGAAACCCGGUGAUCUAGCCAUGGGCAGGUUGAAGGUUGGGUAACACUAACUGGAGGACCGAACCGACUAAUGUUGAAAAAUUAGCGGAUGACUUGUGGCUGGGGGUGAAAGGCCAAUCAAACCGGGAGAUAGCUGGUUCUCCCCGAAAGCUAUUUAGGUAGCGCCUCGUGAACUCAUCUUCGGGGGUAGAGCACUGUUUCGGCUAGGGGGCCAUCCCGGCUUACCAACCCGAUGCAAACUACGAAUACCGAAGAAUGUUAUCACGGGAGACACACGGCGGGUGCUAACGUCCGUCGUGAAGAGGGAAACAACCCAGACCGCCAGCUAAGGUCCCAAAGUCAUGGUUAAGUGGGAAACGAUGUGGGAAGGCACAGACAGCCAGGAUGUUGGCUUAGAAGCAGCCAUCAUUUAAAGAAAGCGUAAUAGCUCACUGGUCGAGUCGGCCUGCGCGGAAGAUGUAACGGGGCUAAACCAUGCACCGAAGCUGCGGCAGCGACGCUUAUGCGUUGUUGGGUAGGGGAGCGUUCUGUAAGCCGUUGAAGGUGUCCUGUGAGGGGUGCUGGAGGUAUCAGAAGUGCGAAUGCUGACAUAAGUAACGAUAAAGCGGGUGAAAAGCCCGCUCGCCGGAAGACCAAGGGUUCCUGUCCAACGUUAAUCGGGGCAGGGUGAGUCGACCCCUAAGGCGAGGCCGAAAGGCGUAGUCGAUGGGAAACAGGUUAAUAUUCCUGUACUUGGUGUUACUGCGAAGGGGGGACGGAGAAGGCUAUGUUAGCCGGGCGACGGUUGUCCCGGUUUAAGCAUGUAGGCGGAACGAUUAGGUAAAUCCGGUCGUUUAUUAACGCUGAGGUGUGAUGACGAGGCACUACGGUGCUGAAGUAACAAAUGCCCUGCUUCCAGGAAAAGCCUCUAAGCAUCAGGUAACAUCAAAUCGUACCCCAAACCGACACAGGUGGUCAGGUAGAGAAUACCAAGGCGCUUGAGAGAACUCGGGUGAAGGAACUAGGCAAAAUGGUGCCGUAACUUCGGGAGAAGGCACGCUGAUAUGUAGGUGAAGCCCCUGCGGGUGGAGCUGAAAUCAGUCGAAGAUACCAGCUGGCUGCAACUGUUUAUUAAAAACACAGCACUGUGCAAACACGAAAGUGGACGUAUACGGUGUGACGCCUGCCCGGUGCCGGAAGGUUAAUUGAUGGGGUUAGCGGUAACGCGAAGCUCUUGAUCGAAGCCCCGGUAAACGGCGGCCGUAACUAUAACGGUCCUAAGGUAGCGAAAUUCCUUGUCGGGUAAGUUCCGACCUGCACGAAUGGCGUAAUGAUGGCCAGGCUGUCUCCACCCGAGACUCAGUGAAAUUGAACUCGCUGUGAAGAUGCAGUGUACCCGCGGCAAGACGGAAAGACCCCGUGAACCUUUACUAUAGCUUGACACUGAACACUGGUCCUUGAUGUGUAGGAUAGGUGGGAGGCUUUGAAGCGUGGACGCCAGUCUGCGUGGAGCCAACCUUGAAAUACCACCCUUUAAUGGCUGGUGUUCUAACGUAGACCCGUGAUCCGGGUUGCGGACAGUGUCUGGUGGGUAGUUUGACUGGGGCGGUCUCCUCCCAAAGAGUAACGGAGGAGCACGAAGGUUAGCUAAUCCUGGUCGGACAUCAGGAGGUUAGUGCAAUGGCAUAAGCUAGCUUGACUGCGAGAGUGACGGCUCGAGCAGGUGCGAAAGCAGGUCAUAGUGAUCCGGUGGUUCUGAAUGGAAGGGCCAUCGCUCAACGGAUAAAAGGUACUCCGGGGAUAACAGGCUGAUACCGCCCAAGAGUUCAUAUCGACGGCGGUGUUUGGCACCUCGAUGUCGGCUCAUCACAUCCUGGGGCUGAAGUAGGUCCCAAGGGUAUGGCUGUUCGCCAUUUAAAGUGGUACGCGAGCUGGGUUUAGAACGUCGUGAGACAGUUCGGUCCCUAUCUGCCGUGGGCGCUGGAGAAUUGAGGGGGGCUGCUCCUAGUACGAGAGGACCGGAGUGGACGCAUCACUGGUGUUCGGGUUGUCAUGCCAAUGGCACUGCCCGGUAGCUAAAUGCGGAAGAGAUAAGUGCUGAAAGCAUCUAAGCACGAAACUUGCCCCGAGAUGAGUUCUCCCUGAGACUUUAAGUCUCCUGAAGGAACGUUGAAGACUACGACGUUGAUAGGUCGGGUGUGUAAGCGCAGCGAUGCGUUGAGCUAACCGAUACUAAUGAACCGUGAGGCUUAACCUUACAACGCCGAAG
rnacentral:rRNA from 1 species